GGGUUACACAAGCCCAACCAUUCACCAAAAACCCUAAUCAGAUUCAUCUAUCACAUACACACCAUCGCCUCUUCUUCUUCUAUCUACCUUCACUGUGCUCAACAAUGGCAGAUUUGGAAUAAUCCAAACUACACUUUCCCAAGUGAUGCAGGCUCACAUGAUCAACUGAAGGUCAUACCGAACGCUUUUGUGAGAAGUUUUUAUGCUAGUGAUGUUCGAUAUGAUCGUGUACUCAUAAGGGGUGAUGGUACUAGAUGCUGGUCUCUAAACCUGUCAAAUCUGAUUGGCGUUGACAACAUGAGGGGGAGAAAGAUGAUAAGAUCAUCGCAUUAUGUGCCGAUGAUGAUCUGGUGUAUAGAUUGUCCAAUGCCAUCAAUGAGUGAAAGCUAGUGUUUGUUUAUUCAUUUUUUAUGCUUAUGGACAUUAGGGAUAAGCCUCAAUGAGAGAAGCUUUUUACCUCCACAAAAUUGUGUUUUUAUCGUCGGCUAUAGUUUACGGUUGGCCAAAUGAGGUCAUGUGCAUAGAAGAUUUUCCCAAAUCUGCAGGCUGUAGCCAACCCAUAUGGGCGAACUAAGGUUAUAGUUUGCUAGCCAAAAGGAUCUUAUGGCUCUAGGAGGAUCGAUUUAUCUCAACUUUUAGAAUUUAGUAAGUUAUAUUUUUGUGGUGUAAUUUGUUUGUUUGUGCACUGCCACACUUGAUUAUUUUCAUUCUGUUGUCAUUUGUUUUAUUACUUAGGAGUUUGUUGGGAAAGAAUCAUUCUUUUUUGGGGCUCAAUUUUUUUAACCACUGUUACGAACUAUCAGAUGAACAUGCAGAUGUAGAUACACUUGAACCCUGAUCAUGGGGCUCAUUUGAUAUGCAAUGGGCUUAAGGACAGAGAUCAAACUCUCGUAUGCUAAGUUGUGGUCGCUUACUAAAUUGAAGUUAAGGUUUGUAUGUUAAUCUCAUAAAAGACAUUUAUUAGUAAUAUUUAAUGUAAUAUUUCCUUUCAUUUAUAAAAAUUGUUUAUAGAGUUAUGUAUUAUA